rnacentral:tRNA from 1 species
AGCAGCGUGGCUGAGUGGAAAGAGCACGGGCUUUAGAGUCUGAGAUCAUGGGUUCGAAUCCCGGCUCUGCCA